rnacentral:rRNA from 1 species
AGUGAACGCUGGCGGUAGGCCUAACACAUGCAAGUCGAACGGCAGCACAGGAGAGCUUGCUCUCUGGGUGGCGAGUGGCGGACGGGUGAGGAAUACAUCGGAAUCUACUUUUUCGUGGGGGAUAACGUAGGGAAACUUACGCUAAUACCGCAUACGACCUACGGGUGAAAGCAGGGGAUCUUCGGACCUUGCGCGAUUGAUUGAGCCGAUGUCGGAUUAGCUAGUUGGCGGGGUAAAGGCCCACCAAGGCGACGAUCCGUAGCUGGUCUGAGAGGAUGAUCAGCCACACUGGAACUGAGACACGGUCCAGACUCCUACGGGAGGCAGCAGUGGGGAAUAUUGGACAAUGGGCGCAAGCCUGAUCCAGCCAUACCGCGCGGGUGAAGAAGGCCUUCGGGUUGUAAAGCCCUUUUGUUGGGAAAGAAAUCCAGCUGGCUAAUACCCGGUUGGGAUGACGGUACCCAAAGAAUAAGCACCGGCUAACUUCGUGCCAGCCGCCGCCGUAA